GAUGAACGCUGACAGAAUGCUUAACACAUGCAAGUCAACUUGAACUUCGGUUUGGGUGGCGGACGGGUGAGUAACGCGUAAAGAACUUGCCUCACAGAUAGGGACAACAUUUGGAAACGAAUGCUAAUACCUGAUAUUAUGAUUAUAUGGCAUCGUAUAAUUAUGAAAGCUAUAUGCGCUGUGAGAGAGCUUUGCGUCCCAUUAGCUAGUUGGAGAGGUAACGGCUCACCAAGGCGAUGAUGGGUAGCCGGCCUGAGAGGGUGAUCGGCCACAAGGGGACUGAGACACGGCCCUUACUCCUUCGGGAGGCAGCAGUGGGGAAUAUUGGACAAUGGACCAAGGGUCUGAUCCAGCAAUUCUGUGUGCACGAUGAAGUUUUUCGGAAUGUAAAGUGCUUUCAGUUGGGAAGAAAAAAAUGACGGUACCAACAGAAGAAGUGACGGCUAAAUACGUG
rnacentral:rRNA from 1 species